AUACCUUUCUCGGCCUUUUGUCUAAGAUGUGUAUGUAUUCUUAUUAGUUUAAUAUCUAAUACGAGGACCAUUGGCUCACAUGAUAUUAAAUUAAUUUUUUCGGGGGAAGACCCGUCACAGUAGCUUGCUGCUGGGGUCUUCGAGUGUCGCCCUUGUGUUGCACAUCUGCUUGAGCCAGGCGCACCCAAU